CCUCAAAUUCUCCCGAAACUAGCUCCGUUGAUAUAAUUGUUCCCUGUAUACGAUCGUGUGUUUUCGUUGAAAUCGAGAGAGGGAAAUUUACAGGUUGGAAGAUUUGCGGCCGAGAGAUCCUAGACAAUGGCGAUGGCUAAUUUCGGUGGUACGGAUGAAGUAGGUUGGUGAAGUACUUUGGGCUGGUUUCGCGGCAAAGUAUUACGUUUGCUUUGGUAUCAAGUCAAAAACCUUGAAAUAGUUUUUAGCUUCGUAAAUCGUUCAGUGCAGAAGAUUUUUCUCUUUUUUUUUCUGGGUCGUUUCUUUUAAGCAGAAAGACUUCGUAGAGUUGCAAACGUUAAAAGAUCGUGGAAGAAAACUGAUUUUACUUUUGAUCGAUAUUCGUCGUAGCAAAUAUACGCAUUGUGUAAGAAGCAAACGAUCGGUGAGAAGGUAAAUGAUCAUAUCCAAGAGGCGAUGAAUCAACGAGUCGAAGAUCCUGUCACGUUUAAAAAUCUAAAUGCAAACGAUCUUCGAUUGGUAAAACGAUAUUCGAUUAAAUAUCGAUGUUUGCUCGAAAAAAGAUAAAAAUGUCAAAUGUAUUAAAUAGAAAUUCAGCGAUCGUUGGCGUCUAAAAUCGACGAAAAAAUUCGAAUCAAAUGCGAAUUCUCCGCUUAGGUUGAAAUCUCUCGGCUUAAGAAGAAGAUUUUUCGAGGGAUCUCGUCCGAUGCCAGCAACUUAAUUUUGCGAUUUUCGCGAGCAGCGGGCCAUCCUCGCGCUAGAUCGUUGCCAGCAAACCUACACUAUCGUACGUUUGCUUCAAUUCGAUCCACGACGACACGUGCAACGGUUAUAAAUAAAUGACACGCGAUUGUUUAUACGUCGAUAGUGACUGACGACAUCGUGAAAGUAGUCGUGGACGUUUGCAUCGGACGUCUGAUUGGAAAUCCGCGACGCGAGCUGUAGAAGCGGAACCGUUUCGUUGCCGCGAGACGUUGAUGGAUCGCGCGAGGGAUGCGACAAAGGGGAAGGAAAUAUUGCUCGCUCUCAAGGAAAAUCCAGUAUAAAUAACGCAUGAAAUUUAUGCACGCAACCCUGUUCCGCGAUAGGAGUUCCCUCCUUUUUUCCUUUUUUCCUCUGAGGUCGGAUAGUUCGAAGGACAGCGGUUUCCACGCGAGAUCGGUUCGAGGAAAAAAAGUGUCGCGGAGGUCGAUCGUUCUUUCGAUAUUUUAGGAAAAAUGCUGUUGAGAAGUGUCAUUUUUUUUUUUUUUUUUUUUUUCAAAGAAAUAUUCGAAAGAAUGUAUAGGAGAAAAGAUAGGAUCGAAAAAAAUGAGGAGGAGAAAGAUAAAAAUAACGAUAAAGCGGGGGAAAAAGGAGUAUUAAAAAGAUGUUAAUAAAAAAAAGUAGAGACUUUUUCUCUACAGAAAAAUGUAAAAAAAGAAUUUAAAAAAUGAUGUUUCGAUAUCUGAUUCCGAGCGUCUCCGAACAUUUCACUUCCACGCAUUUUUAUUUAAGUAACGUUACAAGAUACCUUUCUUUCUAUCGUCUCUCGUCACGGAGUAAGGAAAAAGCGAACGAGCAGAGGGUCUCUGACAUUGUGACGAAUUCCAUAUGACCGACACACGAAACACAGGAAAAGCAAAACAGAGAAAGGGAAGAAGAAACGUACGAAACCGACGUAACUACGGCUGGCGAGGAGUCAGAGAUUACGUUUAUAGAAGGACAUUACGUAGGUACUCGAACUCGUUGUUACAGAGAUUUAUUUUUCAUAAAUUCUACGGAUCGUCAUCUUUCGCCAAUUUCCAUUCUACUCGACGAUUAAUCUUUCUAUCGGAAAGGUGAAAGUAGAAAAAACGGUUGCUCCGUGUGCAAUAAAAAAAGCGAGAAAGAGAGGAGCAUAAAGGUUAAGGGAGAAAGGGAAAUAUAAAAGAAGAGGAAGCAAAAAAGAAAGGAAGGAAAAGGGUCACGGCGAAGCCUGCCUUUCAUUACACGUGUUUACGGCUGAACUAAAGCACCGGGUAUCUAUUUUUACAUCCGGUAAGAAAUCUGUCUGCAAUCAAACACGCGGCGCCUGGAGAAACCCGUAUCUGUCCCUAAUCCUAUUCACCCAUCUAUCGUUUAACCUUUAAUAGCGUUUUAUGAUCGAAAAAGUAUCAAAGAUAUCCACGCGUUUCACGUUUAAUUAUUUUAUACGAUUAAUAGUAACAGCUUUUAUAAAAAGUUUGCCUACAGCUUUUGCUCAUUCGCAAGUACUAGGUUGUCCUAAAAGAAAAAUGUUUUUCUUUCGCAAACGUGCUUUUUACAACGGUGCACCUUCGUACAAACGUGAAACCAAGUCUGUGAAAUGUCACGGUGUUUAUCCCGACAGAACAAAAUGAUAUAAAACAAGAAGAUGUUGCGCGUCUAUUAUUUCCUCAUAAAACGAAAGAAACUUUUCGAACGACCUAAUAUUAUUUCCUCUUUUCUCGGCAUGCGGUAAUUCGAAAUAUAAAAUACACGAUACGUAUAAUCCAACGUGUAGGAAACGUGUCGUAAAUAGUCGUACGCGUAUUUUCAAAGUAUCGACCUGUUAAAGGGUUUUAAUACUAUUUUAAUAUCUCGUUCGCUGUAUAGAAGAAUCGAAAGUAGUAAAAUUCGAAGCGCAAAAAUUGGCGCUGGCAAGCGUUCACAGCACGAGGAUAAAGCGACGGAGCGUACGAGACGACGGAGGGCGAAACGGUAGCAAAACGACAGGUUUCGAGCAAAGGCGACGUGGAGGAAACGCAGAAAACUCUCAUCUAUCAUGUCGAAACGUGUUACGCGCGAAAAUAGUCGCAAGGAUACACCGAGGUCGGACUUGAGAGCGUGGACGGGACGCCGGGCGUCAAGGGUGCGCGUGGAUUAUCAAGCGUACGCACCAGCUGCCGCGACACUCUCGCCAUCCUCGCGUCCACUGCGAACGCGCCGGCCGCUUUCGAUCGCGCCGCUUCUUUGGCAUGAUAUUUCAAAGAAAAGAAAAAAAGAAAGAAAAAUGUUUAUCUAGAAAUGUGAAUCGGGAAAUUUCAACUCGAAAGCUUACAAGUCGAGAUAUUUGAAAACUUUCACGUCCGAAUGGUACGCUUGACGAUUUGAAAAUUUCAGUCUGGCGCUUGGAAAUGCGAAGGUCUGAUGUUUGGACGUCGGAAAGUUCAAGAAAUUGGAAACUUUGAAUGUUACGAUCGGUUGAAUUUAAUGAAACUCUUCUGAAAAUUGAAACUGCGUACGAUGCUGCAUCGUAGAACGGUGCUAUAAAGCCGAUGGCUCGUGCAAAGACAAACCGAAAACGUUGCACAAAAUUUGUUCGCAAGAAGGCCAUGGUACGCUAGGUGCAUGUGCACUUAAGUCCGGUAUAAUUCGUCGAAUGAUACGUUAGUUAAUUGUUUUGUUUACUCGCGAACUUUACGAGACAUAAAAUAACGAUUGUGUUAUUAAUGCAAACUAUCAGCGAUUUUCUACGAAGAAUAUCCGCUUUAAGAUACGCUACAUCGAUAACCAAGAAUUCGUAUCAACAGAGCCGUUGCAUCUUCUAUUAUAUUUUAUUAUAAUAUCUAUUAUAUUCUAAUUAUCCGAUUAAGAAAUCAAGCCAAUAUUAAAAAUGUCUAUCUCGUUGAAUCUUGUUCUUAAUUUUCUAUUAAUUCUGUAGAAAGCAAGCUGUAAGUUUUACAACCUGUGCUGCGCUUACUAUUCUCAUCAAGGCACUGGAACUAUUCAUAGACAAUUAUGAAAGUUUAUAUAAAUAGCUAGUAAUAUUACAAAUGCGAUAUAAAGCAUAUUCAUUGUGACUAUGCGAGUGGAUCUGUGUCGACGCAGCUUCUAACGAGCGUCGUGAAACGGAACAACUGUUGUCUCGACUCGAAAAAAGAUUAAAUUGCCAGAAACUCGA